AUGCAUCUCAGUGAAAAAGAUCUGUCAGACACAAAGAUAAUGCCCUAUGUCAACAGCAUUAUCAAUAUUAUAAUGCAGAAUAUGCAUGAAGAUAAUGAGUUUGCAGAUGGCCAGAAACUAUUAUGUCCAAAAAGGCAAUCAAGUCCAGCUUUUCUGACACAACAUUCUCCUCAGUACAGCUCAGAGAUCCCUGUGCUUAACGUUCCCAAGACGGCUGAUCUGAAAUCAAUAACAUCUCAGAAAUCACAGAAGUUAGAUGAUCUGAAGGCCUUGAGAUUAGUCAAGUGGGUGCUGCAGACCAUCCAGAGACAUCAUAGCAGACAGGGCAAAAAGAGCCAAAAGUUUUGUGAGGUCAUCCAAGUCCUGCUUAAGAAUCUUGAACACAAGAUGGUCAAUAAUGGAGAUCAACAGGCAGCACCCUCCCAAACCAAUGUUCUUCAUACGGACAACAACUUCAAGACAAAGUUGCAAGAGACUACCGUCGCAUCCAUUUGCAAUAUCAUUGAACAUCUGUCCACCAAUGUGCUGAGUUCUAUGUCAUGCCUUGUUUUGCCAAAGACAAAAUCAACAUCAUUGAGCACCCUGGUCAAAAGCUGUUCACUGACCAACCUGGGGAGUCAAGCUGUAGCUACAUCUUUGGCCAUGGAAAUCAGCUCCAAAGUGAUUGAAAAGCUCAAAGAAUCCUCAGGUAGGGGCAAGGCUACCUGUUCGUUGACCAGCCUUCGAGAUUUUGUCAGAGCCAUGACCAUCAACCAUCCAGAGCUAAGCAAACAGGCCGCCUUAAAUGGGUCAAAAAUACACCAAGUUUACGUGGAGGUUCUGGAGAUGGUGGUGUCUAAGCUGAGAGGUUUUGCAACAAAAGGGGAUUUAUUUCACCAACCCAGAGAGCACUUAGCACAGACGAUGGCAGAGAGCUGCGCUGACGUAGAAUGUGCAUUUACGGAGGUUCUGCAGAUGCUUAAGAGUCACAAAACUUGUGAUGAAGCAGGCAGAAUGAAUGCAGUUGACCACAUAUCCACUACUAUCUCUGAUACUAUGUUUAAACGUGUGUCUGAGGGCCAUCAUACUCAGGUGAACACAAAGCUUACUCAGAAGGGCAACACUCCCCCAUUUUCUAGCAUAUCACUGCUACAGGAUGAACUUGGUGAACCAUCAAUGCAUUUCAAGACAGAGAAACAAGAACAUAGCCCCUCCCUUACCAUCACAUCAGGAGAGACCAUGGUACAGCAUUCCCAUUCCAUCAACUUGAAUGUAACCCCAAUGAAAGAGGUCAAGGAUGUGCUUCUGCCUAGAAACUGUAAGCGGCAGGAGGAUAUCAUGCUAUCAGGCCAAGUAGGCAGAGAUGGAGUGUCUCACAAUCUUGCACAUGUCUCUGGGGAAACCGUCACAGACUGUGGUCCAAUCAGAAUCAGUGAUAUUAACCAGCAGGGCCCUAAUAUGAUCCAGGCUAGAAUGACCAAGUCCUCCGUGAACCUCCUACAAACCACUGUGGAAAAGUUGGUGCAUAAGCUGAUGAAUGAGCACAUGGCCCUAUUAGAACUAAAAGGAAUGUCUACUUUUACCAGUCCUGAUCAGGAGGGAAUUUCUCCCAGUCACAAGUCAGAAAAAGAUCCUGAGAACUUGCCACAGAAUGUUCAGAGGCGAUUGAUUACUGAGUUUCAAUCUGAUAGACCUGAACAGCCAGAGUCAAGUGAGCUCUUAAAGAGCAAAUUGAAAGGGAAGGAGCUGAUUGGUAUGCUGUGUACACUGAUGACCAAAUCCAUCAUCAGCUCUUUGACUCUGGAUAGUGCAUUUCAGGUUCCAGUAGGGGCAGAUUCAGAUGAAAAGGAUAGCAAAACGUCUGUAGUGAAGUUAGGGGUGAGUCCCAGAAUACUGGUGCCGACCCCCCCUCUUCACCCCACCCUCACUAACAGCCAGAAGAAUCAUAUGCCUGUUCACAAGGACAGCCGGAGGAGAAACCAAUCUCGCCGUACUCUUAAGUCAGCCACUAGGGUGAUUAGCACCAUAGACUGCAUGGACUAUUUUAGGACCCCCAGAAGAAGUAAAAUGGUGGCUGAGCUGGCAUAUCCAAUGAAGAGCAACAACUGCCUGUCUAGUAAGCCUCCAAGGCCCUCUGCAGCCACCCCAAACACAUCCCUGGCAGCUUCUGAGAUCACUGAGAAUAUGAUGUAUAACCUUGAAGGGGAUUCUCCAGACCUCUUAUCGCUCAGCAGCCCCAUAACCCCUUCCCCCAGUCAGCAGAUGGAACAGGACCCUACUUUUCCAAGUAUCCAGGCCUAA
ensembl:lncRNA